ensembl:rRNA 5S_rRNA 5S ribosomal RNA
GUCUAUGGCCUUACCACUCUGAAUGUGCCUGAUCUUGUCUGAUAUCAGAAGCUAAGCAGGAUCAGGCCUGGUUAGUACUUGGAUGGGGGAACUUCCCUACCUGUUGAUAGUUAUGUUAAUGGGUGGUUAUAGGAC